ACCAUUCAUGCAUAUUUACAGACCUAGUUUAUUGGUAAAUUUCUCACAAUGGAGAGAUGUGUUCUACUAAUUCUUAUAACAGUAUCAGGUGUGUUUGCUGACAGCAUUGAACCAAAAGACAAGGAUAAUAUAAACAGUAAAGAAGGAGAGUCUGUGACACUGAGCUGCACAUAUGAUACAAGCGGCACUUAUGCUAUGCUUUUCUGGUACAGACAGUAUCCAAACAGAGAACCUCAAUAUUUACUGCGUAAAGGUGCUCGAUCAUGGAGCUACAGUGAGGAUAUACCAGACCGCCGGUUUCAGUCAAUUACUUCUGUAUCAUCCACUGAAUUUACUAUGGACAGUGUAACUCUGUCAGAUUCAGCUCUCUAUUAUUGUGCUCUAAGAGUUGGAGCCCAGUGAUACAAAAUACCCGAGAGGCUUUACAAAAACUCACAAACAAAAUAAAUGCUUUGAAUCAUAUCUGAUAAAGUGAAAAGCAAACCACAGUUAUACUUUACAUGAGCCACAAAACCUGUGAAUAAAAGGUUAUGGUAACACCUGCUUUAACUUAACAGAUAAAUAAAAAUUAAGCAUGAAAAGUUUCAUUCAACAAUUAUUACUCUGAAAAAGUGACUGCUUUGUUCAUGCUAAUGAUUCAAUAACUCAUUUAUUUACCGUAUUUUCCGGAGUAUAAGUUGCAC